rnacentral:lncRNA from 1 species
GACUUUUCCUCUGCUGUUGGCCUCGGUGAAUUAUUCUGAUAAUCGUUCAUUACCUGGAAUUGCAGAAAAUGAGAAAAUGCUGGCAAGUGAGAUGAAAAGAACACAUUUCCAAGCACUCAGAGAUGAUGACGGAGGCUCCUUACGUACAUCCUUCCCGAUCUGUUGUGUGUGUGUGUGUGUGUCUCUCAUGGAUAAAUAAAUAAAAAUCUUAAAACAAAACAAAACAAAGAAAACAUUAGGACUCUUGAUUAGGCUAGAAUUGGAAAAAUGUCUGAUAUCUUUUAAUAUAAUUAAAGUUCUAUAAUAAAUCAUCCUAGGGUUUAUGAAGCAUAUCACACCCCUUUGAAAUGGUUUCAAAGUAAUAUUGGCUGGUACUAGAAGUUUAAAUUCCUGUGGAUUAGGUCCAAAAUUAUCAUAAGGUUGGAAUUCUUCUUCUGGAAUUCACUAUCAAAAUUCCCAGAAGUUCAUCCCAUUCUCUGAACUUACUUUUGCCUUCCUGUUCAAAUAAAAACCUACAGGCCACUCUAACUGUGGCUGUUUUCUCCUCCUUACCCCUUGGUCCCUAGACUUUGAAUGCUGCCAGAGGACAACUGUGGCAAAAGCUCUCGGGAUACCUGGGUGGCUCAGCAGUUGAGUGUCUGGCUUUGGCUCAGGAUAUGAUCCUGGAGUUCCAGGAUCGAGUCCCGCAUCAGGCUCCUGCAUGGAGACUGCUUCUCUUCCCUUUGCCUGUCUCUGCCUUUCUCUGUGUCUUAAAAGUAUCCCAGCUUUGACUUUUUCCGAGUUCCAAGUAAUUCCUUAGCCUACAUCUCUAGUUAAAUUAGAAUUUCAAAUUUAGCUAUGCCAAAAUAGAAUAUUUGAUUCACAUAACCACAUCUGCUUCUCCCCUUAGUCUUUUUCGUCUCUGUAAAUGACUCUACCCCCAGCUUAGCCUCAAGUCAAAAAUCUAGAAGUCAUCUUGUCUUUUCAAUAUCCACAUCAAAACCUUCAGCAAGUCCUAUAGGGCCAGCAUCCAUAAUCCAUUGAUAGUACUACAUUCUUGCUAAAAUCUCACUGUCAAAAUUUAUUAUCUCUCCCUGCGCAUACUCUCAAAGUCCUUGUUCCAUUCUCACUUAUGGUCUCCACUUUAUUAAAUCCAAUCCUGGUGUGGUUAAAAGAUAAUUGGAGUCAGAGUAAUAGAAGGAAUGGAAUGACAGUCAGUGAAUGGAAUUAAGUUUGGCAAUGACAAAAUUAUAAAACUAUGGGAAUGAGUAGUUCCAAAGGAGUGGAGGACAAGAUCACUGGAUGUGAGUUCAAGUAACUGAAAGGCCAGGGUGUUGGAAGGAUCAUUUACAUGUAAAUUUCAAGCCAAUAAUUUUUUUUUUUUAGAUUUUAUUUUUUAUUUAUUCAUGAGAGACAGAGAGAGAGAGGCAGAGAGACAUAGGCAGAGGGAGGAAGCAGAAGCCCAAUGGGGAACUUGUUCCCAGGACUCCAGGAUCACACCCUGAGCCGAAGGGAGAUGCUCAACCGCUGAGCCACCCAGGUGUCCCUCAAGCCAAGAGUUAAGAUAGUUAGUAGAGUUGGGUGAGGUAAAAUUUUUAAGAUAUAAGGGGAGUGACUCUAGGGGCCAAAAAUUGUCAAUGCAAUAUGGGGUAGUAGAUAAUAUGGUCUAAUAACAAGAGAGUAAAAGCCUUAUGUUUUUAAGAAUUCAGGAAACAGAAAUAUCUGGAAACAGCAAUGAGGAUCAUCCAUCUUACCUCCAGGAUUUACUGUUUACAUUGUUUUAAAAAAAAGUGUAAAUAAUAUCUGUGUUCAAAAAUACAAUCAGGGCAGCCCUGGUGGCCUAGUGGUUUAGCGCUGCCUUCAGCCCAGGGUGUGAUCCUGGAGACCGGGGAUCGAGUUCCACAUCAGGCUCCCUGCAUGGAGCCUGCUUCUCCCUCUGCCUCUCUCUCUUUCUCUCUGUGUCUGUUGUCUCUGUCAUAAAUAAAUAAAAAAUCUUUAAAAAAAAAUAGAAUCAUGUAAAAAAAAUAUAAUCAUGUUAGACUAUUUUUAAAAAUACAAGUGUCCUCGGGUGCCUGGGUGGCUUAGUCAGUUAAGCAUCUGCCUUUGGCUCAGGUCAUGAUCCCAGGGUCCUGGGAUCAAGCCCCAUGGCAGGCUCCUUGUUCAGCAUGGAGUGUGCUUCUCCCUCUCCCUCUGCUCUUCCCCUUGCUCAAAUAAAUAAAAAAUAAAAAAUCUUAAAAAAAAAAAAUACAGUGCUCUUGGGGCACCUGGGUGGCUCAGUUAAGCUUCUGCUUCUGACUCCUAAUUUUGGCU